AUGGUCAACACCGACACUGAAAACAACAUCACCUGCUCCACGCACCUAGUAGAUACAAAUCACUUGAGAUAUAAGGUAUUGUUUCCGUGUGUCUAUUUAUAUAGAGCAUUGACAUUCUCUUUAUAUGAGAAGUCAUACAAUUUUAGUUAUCAAAAGGAUUUUGGAGGUCAUCCUGCAAUAAGAUUGGUAGUCUCCCACCCGGUACUCCACCAUCGCUGCCGGUUGAUCAUGGUUCAUUUUACAUUCAACACGAUGACAAAGUAUUGUAAAUAUAUUUUCAAUAUUCAUAUUUUUUAG